CUGUCCAUGGCCAGGUGUUCUGGACAGCAGAAAGCCACACUGGGACAAAGACAGAGGAAGAAAGGACAAGAUCAGAAAACAACACCAGGAGAAUAGACAGAUAACAGGUGCAGGAUAGCAGCCAGCAGCUUGCUGAUGUCCCAGUGCUCAGAGUCUGAGAACAUGAGGAUCUUCAUAGCGGAGCGGAUGUGGGCAUAAUCCUUGGCGUCAUUCCGGCUGUCGCAGGACAUGCAGUUACCCUGCAAGCACCACAUCAACAGGUUCAGUGUGGCUACACUGUAUAAUGGGGCCCCUGCCAUAGCUCCAUGUCCAAAUCAGAGAUCACACUCCAGAUCUCCCACCCUUAAUCGCUG